UGUUUUCCCUUCGGGGCAGAGGAGACAGGUGGUGCAUGGUUGUCGUCAGCUCGUGUCGUGAGAUGUUGGGUUAAGUCCCGCAACGAGCGCAACCCUUAUGUUCAGUAGCCAGCGGUUCGGCCGGGCACUCUGGGCAGACUGCCAGGAAUAACCUGGAGGAAGGCGGGGAUGACGUCAAAUCAUCAUGCCCCUUAUGACUUGGGCUACACACGUGCUACAAUGGCGUAAACAGAGGGAAGCGAGCCCGCGAGGGGGAGCGAAUCCCAAAAAUAACGUCCCAGUUCGGACUGUAGUCUGCAACCCGACUAUACGAAGCUGGAAUCGCUAGUAAUCGCAGAUCAGAAUGCUGCGGUGAAUACGUUCCCGGGUCUUGUAC
rnacentral:rRNA from 1 species